rnacentral:rRNA from 1 species
UACGGCGGUCAUAGCGUGGGGGAAACGCCCGGUUCCAUUCCGAACCCGGAAGCUAAGGCCCACAGCGCCAUGGUACUGCAACCGGGAGGUUGUGGGAGAGUAGGUCGCCGCCGGAC